UACAGAGGUCUCAAGCGUUGUUCGGAAUUACUGGGCGUAAAGCGUGCGCAGGCGGUUUGCUAAGAGAGAUGUGAAAUCCCCGGGCUUAACCUGGGAACUGCGUUUCUAACUGGCAGGCUUGAGUGUGGCAGAGGGGGGUGGAAUUCCACGUGUAGCAGUGAAAUGCGUAGAGAUGUGGAGGAACACCGAUGGCGAAGGCAGCCCCCUGGGCUAACACUGACGCUCAUGCACGAAAGCGUGGGGAGCAAACAGG
rnacentral:rRNA from 1 species